rnacentral:rRNA from 1 species
UACGUAGGUGACAAGCGUUGUCCGGAUUUACUGGGCGUAAAGAGCGCGCAGGCGGUCGAUCAAGUCGAGUGUGAAAGCCCCCGGCUCAACUGGGGAGGGUCAUUCGAUACUGAUCGACUCGAAGGCAGGAGAGGGUAGUGGAAUUCCCGGUGUAGUGGUGAAAUGCGUAGAUAUCGGGAGGAACACCAGUGGCGAAGGCGGGUUGCUAGGCUGAUACUGACGCUGAGUGCGCGAAAGCUAGGGUAGCAAACGGG